rnacentral:rRNA from 1 species
GAUGAACGCUAGCGGGAGGCCUAAUACAUGCAAGUCGAACGGUAACAGGUAGCAAUACGCUGACGAGUGGCGCACGGGUGAGUAACACGUACACAACCUGCCUAUGACUGGGCAUAACUUCGGGAAACUGAAGCUAAUUCCCCAUAACACUGCAGAAAGGCAUCUUUCAGCAGUUAAAGCCCCCGGCGGUCAUAGAUGGGUGUGCGUUUGAUUAGCUAGUUGGUAAGGUAACGGCUUACCAAGGCUACGAUCAAUAACUGGUCUGAGAGGAUGAUCAGUCACACGGGCACUGAGACAC